UGGGUAACCUGCCUCAAAGAGGGGAAUAGCCUCCCGAAAGGGAGAUUAAUACCGCAUAAUAUGUUUAAGUCGCAUGACUUUAACAUCAAAGGAUUUUUCUUUUAGAAAUUCCACUUUGAGAUGGACCCGCGGCGCAUUAGCUAGUUGGUGAGGUAACGGCUCACCAAGGCAACGAUGCGUAGCCGACCUGAGAGGGUGAUCGGCCACAUUGGAACUGAGACACGGUCCAGCUCCGUAGGGAG
rnacentral:rRNA from 1 species